UACGAAGGGGGCUAGCGUUGUUCGGAAUUACUGGGCGUAAAGCGCGCGCAGGCUGUCCUCCAAGUCAGUGGUGAAAGCCCGGAGCUCAACUCCGGAAUUGCCAUUGAAACUGUGGGACUGGAGUACGAGAGAGGUGAGUGGAAUUCCCAGUGUAGAGGUGAAAUUCGUAGAUAUUGGGAAGAACACCGGUGGCGAAGGCGGCUCACUGGCUCGUAACUGACGCUCAGGCGCGACAGCGUGGGGAUCAAACAGG
rnacentral:rRNA from 1 species